UACGGAGGGUGCAAGCGUUGCUCGGAAUCACUGGGCGUAAAGCGUACGCAGGCGGUUCGUCAAGUCGGGUGUGAAAUCCCGGAGCUCAACUCCGGAACUGCGCCCGAAACUGGCGGACUUGAAUACGGGAGAGGAAAGCGGAAUUCCUGGUGUAGAGGUGAAAUUCGUAGAUAUCAGGAGGAACACCAGUGGCGAAAGCGGCUUUCUGGCCCGAUAUUGACGCUCAUGUACGAAAGCGUGGGUAGCAAACAGG
rnacentral:rRNA from 1 species